rnacentral:lncRNA from 13 species
AUGGGAAUGUGUACAAUGUUGACAACACCUCCUUACCCUCUGGCUGGAGCAAUGUCUCCUCUUCGUCUUGAAAUCCCCCAGCAAUCUCCUCGUGAUGUUAUCCUGCCAGUCAGAAAGACAUUAGUUUACAUGACUUUAUUGCUGACGGUAUUAGACAACAACACACUACAACAGCAGCAGGUGAAUUCGACGACGGGUAUUAGACCACAACAACACACAACUGUCCUCGGGGCGGUUGAUGGAGCGGGAAGCCUGUUCCCCGGCUGGCCAUUGGUGGACAGAAACGUGUUUCUCAGUCACUAGCAGUAGACGCGUCCUGGUUGCCCUGGAGACUGACAAGAACUAACACAGUGACCUGGUUUCCCUGGAGAACGACAUGAACUGCUACAGUGACCUAAAGAAUCAACAGAGCCAAACGCAGCAAAGGGUGUGUUCAUAAUCAUAAAUUCAAUCUGGAGCGCCAGAGUGCGCUCAGAGUGCGCUCUGGGCGUUCGGUAAAUUCAGAGCGUUCAGAGACGCACACUGAAGUGUUCUGACCUCACAACAGCAGUCAAGCACCCAAGUUAACUGGCUAAUGUUGGCUAGCUAUUUCCAGACACAAAUAAGAGAACACCUAUUUAUUUUUAAUAAGAUAACACCUCAUACUGACAAUUUUACGCCCGCCAGGCUGUUUUUAGGCUGUUUUCAGGCUGUUUUCAUGUUAUCUAGAGCGUUGGUGACUGUAACUGUCCCGCUGGCAACAAUUUAAAUACGCCUUUUUUUUUUGUGCCAACGUUUACUUACACCGGCCAUAUUUAACUGGUGUUGAGCGUCCGUAAAUUCAUCAGUUAUUAUCUGUUACACUCAGACGAGAGUGCUCUGAAAUCGGAGUAUAUAGCCAGAGCGAAUUUACGAACGCACCCAAAGUUUUAAUGGUCUUGGCACGGUUAUAGUUUUUUUCUCCAUCUCUUCAUUUAAAGACUCAAUCAUGGACACUCUUACUGACAGUUGUGACUGCUUUG